rnacentral:rRNA from 1 species
AAUAGAUACCCAGGUAGUCCACGCCGUAAACGAUGGAUGCUAGCUGUUAUGCGUAUCGACCCGUGUAGUAGCGAAGCUAACGCGUUAAGCAUCCCGCCUGGGGAGUACGAACGCAAGUUUAAAACUCAAAGGAAUUGACGGGGACCCGCACAAGCGGUGGAGCGUGUUCUUUAAUUCGAGGCUAAGCGAAGAACCUUACCAGGGCUUGACAUCCUUGGAAUUUCUCCGAAAGGAGAGAGUACUUUAUUGGACCAAGUGACAGGUGCUGCAUGGCCGUCGUCAGCUCGUGUCGUGAGAUGUUUGGUUAAGUCCAUUAACGAGCGCAACCCUUAUGAAUAGUUGUAUUUUUCUAUUCAGACUGCCCCGGUAACGGGGAGGAAGGGGGGAUGAUGUCAGGUCAGUAUUGCCCUUACGCCCUGGGCUAGAAACGCGCUACAAUGGCCGGUACAAUGCGCUGCCAACCCGCGAGGGGGUAGCAAAUCGCAUCAAAGCCGGUCCCAGUUCGGAUAAGAGGCUGAAACUCGCCUCUUUGAAGCCGGAAUCGCUAGU